GACGAACGCUGGCGGCGUGCCUAAUACAUGCAAGUCGAACGCAGUGGGGACGGGUGAGUAACACGUGGGUAACCUCCCAUCAGAGGGGAUAACACUUGGAAACAGGUGCUAAACCGAUACUGAUGGAUGGACCCGCGGUGCAUUAGCUAGUGGGUGAGGUAACGGCUCACCAAGGCCACGAUGCAAAGCCCAACUGCAGGGUGGAUCGCACCCACUGGGCCUGAGCCCUGCCCCAGACUCCUACGUGAGGCAUCAGGAGGGAUGCUUCGGCAAUGGACGCAAGUCUGCGCGAGCAACGCCGCGUGAGUGAAGAAGGUUUUCGGAUCGUAAAACUCUGUUGUUAGAGAAGCGGUAUCUAACCAGAAAGCCACGGCUAACUACGGGCCAGCCGCCGCGGUAAUUC
rnacentral:rRNA from 1 species